CGUCAUGAAGUAUGUCCGUGGCCAGACGCUCCGCGCGCAGGUUGAUCCCCGUCGCCGCUCGAUAAUUGAGACGUACCGGUUGCUGAAAGCAUUCGAGCGGGU
rnacentral:rRNA from 1 species